CGCCGAAGGUGGGGCUAAUGACUGGGGUGAAGUCGUAACAAGGUAGCCGUACCGGAAGGUGCGGCUGGAUCACCUCCUAACAGGGAGACAAAACUGAUUUUGAUGUCUGAAUAAUUAUUUUAGGCCAAAAUCCUGUCACCUUAGGUCGAUCGGUACCUCACUUUGAUAGUUCAAAUCUAAGAUUAUUAGCGUUUGAAAUUUAUUAAAUUCAGUUCCUAAACUAUGUCUAGGUCACACCCAGCAAGGGUUAUCCUGGGCCAUUAGCUCAGGUGGUUAGAGCGCACCCCUGAUAAGGGUGAGGUCCCUGGUUCAAGUCCAGGAUGGCCCAUUCGGUUUUGGGGGUAUAGCUCAGUUGGUAGAGCGCCUGCUUUGCAAGCAGGAUGUCAGCGGUUCGAGUCCGCUUACCUCCACUGAUCGACUACCUGAAAAAUAAGCCUUAAGGAUAUUCUCUGAGAUGUGAUCUAGAAUUGUUUUUUGAACGAACCUAGCUUCUUGUCAUUCCAAUGAAAGUUACUUUCUAGUUUUGGUUGACAUGACGCUGGGCUCCCUGCAAGCAAAUUGCAGAGAAGUUCAGUAGAACCUUGACAACUGCAUAGGAUAAGUCUGGAAAGAAUAAAGCAUCUCAUGGAUGCAUUAUUCUUUUGAACUUAAACCAUACGAUUUCUGUAUUAAUCAGAGCCGUAAGUUUGGGUAGAAAGAAUGAUGUUUAAUUCUUGAGCAAGAGCUGAGAAUCUAUAACAUCCUUUUAUUGAAUUAAAAUCAAUGAAAGAUUUAAGUGGUAUCAAAUCACUUGGUUAUAGAGAUUAAUGGUCAAGCUACAAAGGGCUCACGGCG
rnacentral:misc_RNA from 1 species